rnacentral:lncRNA from 1 species
UUGUUUUACUGAAUAUUCACAGCAAUUUAUUUGCAGAAGAGUAAGUUCCCUCUGGCUUUUACCUUAUUCAGGGUUGAUCAAUGGCAAUUGCAGUUCCUCCAAGGUCAUGCCAUUCAGAAGUUUGCUAUUCCACUGAUGUCUACACAACAUGCACUCCAAUAGGCAAUGAAAAGGGGAUUGCCAGUCAGCUCCUAGGAGAUGAGGCUAUUGUUUUCAAUCUAUAGCCAUUGAGGCAGUUGCCAGUCUUGUAUUUUGUUAUGAGAGAAACCUGGAGAGGAGGGGAGACAAGGCAAUAAUUGCUUCAGGUCAUGGACAGCAGGUCAGACAACUAAGCACAGGUGAGGCCUGGCUCCUGCUGAAGGUGACAAAGUUGCCCAUCAACCAGAUAAAAAUACUUGGGCUGCUCCUGUGCCUUCAGCACCACCCUCAUAUUCAGGAAUUCUUCAGUGAUUUUUUUGAUAUUAUAAAAAUAAUCUGAUGGUCUGCAGAACAGGUUGCUGAAAUGGAGCACACGCUAGUAAAAAGGUGGCAGUCUUCUUAGGCAAAUCCCAAGGAAUUCAAAGGCUGCAACCCAAGCUUCCCAGCUUUGCAUUUAACAAGGCACAUCCACCAAGAUAGGUUGCCAUCUUACGCCUGCACCUUCCCAAGUCCCAUCCAUUGGUAGGCAGAGGGGGGCGGGCUGUGUGGGAAUGUUCAGGGAUGCAGGAGAGGAUAUAUUGUGAGAUUAUAUCCUUAUCCAACUUGUGCUAACAAGUUCCCAAAAUAUCAGCAGAGUUAAAGACAUUCCCCUUUUAAGUUCGCAACGGUAACGUGUGCACAGGUUCGCUAGAACCUCUAUAAUAAUUACUCUGGUAAUUUCCCCUUUGUUCCCUCUUAAAAUACAAGACAUGACACAGUCUUUAUAAAAGUAUAAAAGAGUUUACUCACAUUCUGUUCACAAUAUGAUCCCAGAAGGCAGACAGGCUUAAAAAGGUAAAUUACAUUUAGAAUCUAUCUUAUAGGAAGAUAGUCCCUUUCUGCUCUCUUGGCUGGGAGCCAAGAGGGCAUCCUUAGAUGUUGCUUCCUCGAAGGAAGAGGGCAGAGAGGCAAGAGAGCAAGAGAGAGAUGGCUGUGCUGCCCUGUGCUUUUAUCAUUACCUGCACAGGUGAGGCCACACCCACCUCUGGUCACAUGCGGAGGAAGUCUGUCCCAGGAAGUUUACCUGCUGGCUGGACAGACAUCCCUCCCCAUGUUUAAACAUGUACACUCUAGGAAUGUUGUAAUUGACUGCUCCUGUGUUUUACAUCCCACAGGCUGAAAUCCAGCUUGAUUCAGCAUCUGGGGAAGAGAAAUGGGUCAAAAAUAUUGGUAACUGCAUAUCAUUGAUUGAUUGAUUGAUUGAUUGAUUGAUUGCCAGCCCUUCACCCUAAGGUCCUAAUAAAACAUAAUACUAAAAACAAUUUAAAACCACAAAGCUAUUGUGGCUUCUGCAAUUAACACCAUCAAAUACCCACCAAAAUAAAACAAGGAAAUAAAAAAUAAAAUUGAGGGGUGGGGAACACAUGGAAUUUCAUCAUGUGUACUCCUCAAACCCCC